UACGGGGGGGGCAAGCGUUGUUCGGAAUUACUGGGCGUAAAGGGCUCGUAGGCGGCCAACUAAGUCAGACGUGAAAUCCCUCGGCUUAACCGGGGAACUGCGUCUGAUACUGGAUGGCUAGAGGUUGGGAGAGGGAUGCGGAAUUCCAGGUGUAGCGGUGAAAUGCGUAGAUAUCUGGAGGAACACCGGUGGCGAAGGCGGCAUCCUGGACCAAUUCUGACGCUGAGGAGCGAAAGCCAGGGGAGCAAACAGG
rnacentral:rRNA from 1 species